rnacentral:lncRNA from 1 species
GCUGAGAGGUCACAAGAUGAUACUGACAACAGAAGAGCUCAGAAGAGCAGUUGACACUUGUCCACCACACAAUGUCCACACUGCCCAGCACUGGGCCUGCCAUGCUCUCUGCCUUCCUUGCAGGCUGCAGAACAGCUGAACCACCUGUGCUCCACUUAGCCCAUUCCUGCCUUUCUCACCUGCUUGAGGACACUGUUUCAGCAAAUCACCGUUUUCUCCCUGCAUCAAUAGUCCCUUACUUCCAGUGCUUCAUUGCCUGGGACAUACAAAUGUGCAUUUGUUUCUUCUAUUAAUUUUCAUUGUUGUCCCCUCAAUUCUCUCUCUAGCUACCAACUCCUUACUCUUCUCCUUUGGAGCAAAAUGUCUCCAGAAUUUUCUAUACUCAGUUUCAAAUCUCUCU